rnacentral:rRNA from 1 species
UACGGGGGGAGCAAGCGUUGUUCGGAUUUACUGGGCGUAAAGGGCGCGUAGGCGGCCACCGCAAGUCGACUGUGAAAUCUCCGGGCUUAACCCGGAAAGGUCAGCCGAUACUGCGGGGCUAGAGUGCAGAAGGGGCAACUGGAAUUCUCGGUGGUAGCGGUGAAAUGCGUAGAUAUCAAGAGGAACACUCGUGGCGAAAGCGAGCUACUGGACAAUAUCUGACGCUGAGGCUCGAAGGCCAGGGUAGCGAAAGGG